rnacentral:rRNA from 1 species
AACGAACGCUGGCGGCAGGCUUAACACAUGCAAGUCGAGCGAGACCUUCGGGUCUAGCGGCGGACGGGUGAGUAACGCGUGGGAACGUGCCCUUCUCUACGGAAUAGCCCCGGGAAACUGGGAGUAAUACCGUAUACGCCCUUUGGGGGAAAGAUUUAUCGGAGAAGGAUCGGCCCGCGUUGGAUUAGGUAGUUGGUGGGGUAAUGGCCCACCAAGCCGACGAUCCAUAGCUGGUUUGAGAGGAUGAUCAGCCACACUGGGACUGAGACACGGCCCAGACCCCUCCGGGAGGAGCCAGGGGGGACUUUUAGACAGGGGGGCCACCCCUGAUCGACCCAUGCCGCGUGAGGAUUGAGGCCCUUGGGUUUGAAAACCCCUUUCAGCGGGGAAGAUAAUGAGGGUCCCAGAAAAAGAGCCCCCGCCUACCCCCGUC